rnacentral:rRNA from 2 species
UAGUGGCGAACGGGUGAGUAACACGUGGGCAAUCUGCCCUUCACUCUGGGACAAGCCCUGGAAACGGGGUCUAAUACCGGAUAANACUUUUCCCUGCAUGGGGGAGGGUUGAAAGCUCCGGCGGUGAAGGAUGAGCCCGCGGCCUAUCAGCUUGUUGGUGGGGUGAUGGCCUACCAAGGCGACGACGGGUAGCCGGCCUGAGAGGGCGACCGGCCACACUGGGACUGAGACACGGCCCAGACUCCUACGGGAGGCAGCAGUGGGGAAUAUUGCACAAUGGGCGGAAGCCUGAUGCAGCGACGCCGCGUGAGGGAUGACGGCCUUCGGGUUGUAAACCUCUUUCAGCAGGGAAGAAGCGUGAGUGACGGUACCUGCAGAAGAAGCGCCGGCUAACUACGUGCCAGCAGCCGCGGUAAUACGUAGGGCGCAAGCGUUGUCCGGAAUUAUUGGGCGUAAAGAGCUCGUAGGCGGCUUGUCGCGUCGGAUGUGAAAGCCCGGGGCUCAACCCCGGGUCUGCAUUCGAUACGGGCAGGCUGGAGUGUGGUAGGGGAGAUCGGAAUUCCU